UGAGCCGCCACAAAGACCAAAGAAGUGAU
rnacentral:piRNA from 1 species